AGUGAACGCUGGCGGCAGGCCUAACACAUGCAAGUCGAGCGGCAGCACAGCAGUAGCAAUACUGUGGGUGGCGAGCGGCGGACGGGUGAGGAAUACAUCGGAAUCUACCUUCUUGUGGGGGAUAACGUAGGGAAACUUACGCUAAUACCGCAUAAGACCUGAGGGUGAAAGCGGGGGACCGCAAGGCCUCGCGCGAGAAGAUGAGCCGAUGUCGGAUUAGCUAGUUGGUGAGGUAAAGGCUCACCAAGGCGACGAUCCGUAGCUGGUCUGAGAGGAUGAUCAGCCACACUGGAACUGAGACACGGUCCAGACUCCUACGGGAGGCAGCAGUGGGGAAUAUUGGACAAUGGGCGCAAGCCUGAUCCAGCCAUGCCGCGUGCGGGAAGAAGGCCUCGG
rnacentral:rRNA from 1 species